rnacentral:rRNA from 1 species
AAAUUGAAGAGUUUGAUCAUGGCUCAGAUUGAACGCUGGCGGCAGGCCUAACACAUGCAAGUCGAACGGUAACAGGAAACAGCUUGCUGUUUCGCUGACGAGUGGCGGACGGGUGAGUAAUGUCUGGGAAACUGCCUGAUGGAGGGGGAUAACUACUGGAAACGGUAGCUAAUACCGCAUAACGUCGCAAGACCAAAGAGGGGGACCUUCGGGCCUCUUGCCAUCGGAUGUGCCCAGAUGGGAUUAGCUAGUAGGUGGGGU